GAUGAACGCUGGCGGCGUGCCUAAUACAUGCAAGUCGAGCGAACUGAUUAGAAGCUUGCUUCUAUGACGUUAGCGGCGGACGGGUGAGUAACACGUGGGCAACCUGCCUGCAAGACUGGGAUAACUUCGGGAAACCGAAGCUAAUACCGGAUAGGAUCUUCUCCUUCAUGGGAGAUGAUUGAAAGAUGGUUUCGGCUAUCACUUACAGAUGGGCCCGCGGUGCAUUAGCUAGUUGGUGAGGUAACGGCUCACCAAGGCAACGAUGCAUAGCCGACCGGCGACGGGGAUCGGCCACACUGGGACUGAGACACGGCCCAGACUCCUACGGGAGGAAGCAGUAGGGAAUCUUCCGCAAUGGACGAAAGUCUGACGGAGCAACGCCGCGUGAGUGAUGAAGGCUUUCGGGUCGUAAAACUCUGUUGUUAGGGAAGAAUAAGUACAAGAGUAACUGCUUGUACCUUGACGGUACCUAACCAGAAAGCCACGGCUAACUACGUGCCAGCCGCCGCGGUAACAC
rnacentral:rRNA from 1 species